UAAAGAAUCUAAGAGACUUACUAGAUUUACUUCUCUAAUUUUCCCUUGGCAUUGAGCAAGUUGCCUGUUGCAAUGCCAUUUUCUUUUUCUCUUGCAACUCGAAGAACCUGGUACCCAACUUGAAACCCUAAUCUUGAUCUGGCAUGGGGAGCAGCAAUCUUCCUCCCAGAAUCAUCAAGGAAACCUAGAGAUUACUGAACGAGCGAGGGAUCGUGUUUCUCAUUUUGGGACAUUACCUCUUGGGAUUUUGCUCGUACGAAGGUUCGCUUUCUCACUAAAAUCUACCAUCCAAUAUUGACAAGGGAAGUAAAUAGGCUUCAUAUUUUUCUUCAGAGAUGCUAUUGAUCUCUAUUAAAUAGGUUAAUGAUUCAUACAGCUUGGACGAAUAUGCCUUGCUAUUCUCAAAGACAAGUGGAGUCCAGCACUACAAAUUCGAACAGUAUUGCCGAGCAUUCAAGCACUAUUGAGCGCUCCCAACUCAGAUGACCCACUGAGAAUAUUGCCAAGCAUUGGAAGCUGAAGCUGAAGCUGAAGCUGAAGCUGAAGCUGAAGCUGUAGAGACAGGUAUGGGGUUAAUUCGUUCCUACCUAUAAAAGCAGUGUCCUCAUCUCUCAUAUUUGGAUGGUGGAUACUACCUGUACAUUUAGGUUGAAAUUUUCCCAGGUUUGGUACUAUCCUUUAAAGUCAAAUACUGUCUAGGAAUUUCAAAAAGCUACCGCUACUUGAAUUCCUUGAUCCCGUCACUCUCAUCCUUAUCAUCUUGAGUUUAAUAUAUAAAUGUUAUAUAUAUUAUUAGCUUAUUGUCUUUGUUAAA